rnacentral:rRNA from 1 species
CCUACGGGAGGCAGCAGUGAGGAAUAUUGGUCAAUGGGCUUACGCCUGAACCAGCCAAGUCGCGUGAGGGAAGACUGCCCUAUGGGUUGUAAACCUCUUUUGUCAGGGAGCAAUUGGCGCUACGUGUAGCGUUAUCGAGAGUACCUGAAGAAAAAGCAUCGGCUAACUCCGUGCCAGCAGCCGCGGUAAUACGGAGGAUGCGAGCGUUAUCCGGAUUUAUUGGGUUUAAAGGGUGCGUAGGCGGAAUGCCAAGUCAGCGGUAAAAUCGCGGGGCUCAACCUCGCUCCGCCGUUGAAACUGGCGGUCUUGAGUGGGCGAUAAGUAUGCGGAAUGCGUGGUGUAGCGGUGAAAUGCAUAGAUAUCACGCAGAACUCCGAUUGCGAAGGCAGCAUACCGGCGCCCAACUGACGCUGAAGCACGAAAGCGUGGGUAUCGAACAGGAUUAGAUACCCCGGUAGUC